UACGGAGGGUGCAAGCGUUAUCCGGAUUCACUGGGUUUAAAGGGUGCGUAGGCGGUGCGGAAAGUUGGGUGUGAAAGCCCUCGGCUCAACCGAGGAAUUGCGCCCAAAACUGCCGCACUAGAGGAAGACAGAGGUACGCGGAACUUAGGGUGGAGCGGUGAAAUGCGUUGAUAUCCUAAGGAACACCGGUGGCGAAAGCGGCGUACUGGGUCUUAUCUGACGCUGAGGCACGAAAGCUAGGGGAGCGAACGGG
rnacentral:rRNA from 1 species